rnacentral:rRNA from 1 species
AUUGAACGCUGGCGGAAUGCUUUACACAUGCAAGUCGAACGGUAGCACGGACUUCGGUCUGGUGGCGAGUGGCGAACGGGUGAGUAAUGUAUCGGAACGUGCCCAGUCGUGGGGGAUAACGUAGUGAACAGUAAGCUAAUACAGCAUACGAUCUAUGGAUGAAAGCGGGGGAUCGCAAGACCUCGCGCGAUUGGAGCGGCCGAUAGCAGAUUAGGUAGUUGGUGGGGGAAAGGCCCACCAAGCCAACGAUCUGUAGCUGGUCUGAGAGGACGACCAGCCACACUGGAACUGAGACACGGUCCAGACUCCUACGGGAGGCAGCAGUGGGGAAUUUUGGACAAUGGGCGAAAGCCUGAUCCAGCCAUUCCGCGUGCAGGAUGAAGGCCCUCGGGUUGUAAACUGCUUUUGUACAGAACGAAAAGGUUUCUACUAAUACUAGGAGCUCAUGACGGUACUGUAAGAAUAAGCACCGGCUAACUACGUGCCAGCAGCCGCCGUAA